AAUCAACCCAUGUCGGCUGAAGACACUGAAUUUUUGGGAACAGUUUUGUUCACAGACAAGGCAUGUUUAUAUGGGAGCAAUACUUUACUAGUCACAACAGCCAUGUGUGUGCUGAGGAAAAUUCUCAAAUGUGACGUCCUCGUGGCUCUCAAUAUUAGGACUGUGUUAAUGUUUGGGUCAAUCAAAAAUCAUCAAGAAUUGUUGAUUUUUUGAUCAGGCCAUAUGUAUUGUCUCCCCAUCUAAACUCUCGAAUCUAUUGUAUAUAUUUCCUCUUACUUAAUCUCAAUUGUUUACACAGUGUUGGUCUUCACACAUACACAGCUACAAGGCAACAAAAUUGUAAACAAUUGAAAGCACUAAACAGCAGAUGAUUAAACUUCAUAAGUAGUUUUAGUUGCAAACGUUUCCAGUGUGCAGGGCGCCAUCUUCAGGCAAUACAUUCAAUAUUUUAAAAUAAUAGAACAUAAACUUUUUCAGAACAAACAGAGCACAAAAAAGACAUGGCCAAAGGAAAGCUAAAUACAGCCUUGGCGGAAGCGCUUACCAGCACGACAUACAAGUGAACUCGUGUGAAGUGCAAAUAACUAAAAAUGUAGAAAAAGAGAAGCACGCAGU
rnacentral:lncRNA from 1 species